GGCGGCCCCCAGCCCGCGCCCGGAGCCGCCAAUCCCUCUCUCUCUCUGGCUGGUCCCGCAGCUCGCCUUCUUGGUGGCUCUCCCAGGCUGGGGACGUAGCACCUGGCUGAGCUGCGUGGCCUCAGCGAAUUACGAAGAGGUAGCGGGUCGGAAUAAACGUGCGCGUGCCGUAAAUCAGCUCUGGGUCCCAGGGACAGAUUUGGGGGUUUUCGCCCCCCUUUCCUGGUUCGGUACUUAAUUGAGCAUCUAUUAUGUAGAGACAGGGCUCGAGUAGAGGAGCGCAGCGGGCUGAGGAAAACCACGGCCUGUUUCCCAAGAGCUUUUGCCUCCCUGGACCAUCGUGAACCUGCCUCCGAGAUGCCCACGAUCGCCCUGGGUGUGGGAGAUGGUGUUCGGCCUCCCCCAACCCGUCCCCCAGGAGGCUUUGGUGCUCAGGGCCCAGGCACCGGCUUUCACUGGAGCUUCUAGCAAAUGCUUGCUCCCUGGAAUGAGUCUGUGAACACUGGUCUCACUUGCUUCGUGAAUUCUCAUCUUGAUUCUUCCAAACCACAAACCCUUCAGACGAACUCUGCAUGUUUUUCUUGACAGGAGACGUUUUCUUCCUCCUUAAAAAGAAAGAAAACAAACAACAACAACAAAACAAAUCCUCCACCACCAUCCCCAUCUCUUCCCAAAUAAAGAACCAGAAAUAAGGCCUGUGUCUUCUCUGAAACUGACAAAGGAGUCCUAUAGAGAAUUGUUUUAUAGAAUUUCUAGAACAAUUAUGUGGAUCUAUCAUAUACCAGAAGCAAGGAAAAAGUUCACCCUCACCCCGAUUCUGCUAGUUCUUCAUGACUGCAUUUGAAAGAACAAAAAGAUAGAUGCAGAUCCUAAGGAGAGAGCCACCCCAUCAUACCUCAAAAGGGCCCUGUCUGAAAC